CACGUAGGGACCAAGCGUUGUCCGGAUUUAUUGGGCGUAAAGCGCUCGUAGGCGGUUCGGUAAGUCGGGUGUGAAACCCCUGGGCUCAACCCGGGAACUGCGUCCGAUACUGGGAGGCUUGAAUCCGGGAGAGGGAUGUGGAAUUCCAGGUGUAGCGGUGAAAUGCGUAGAUAUCUGGAGGAACACCGGUGGCGAAGGCGGCAUCCUGGACCGGUAUUGACGCUGAGGCGCGAAAGCCAGGGGAGCAAAC
rnacentral:rRNA from 1 species